ACAGGAGAUCUGUAUGAAAAGAUACUGGAGGAUGCUGGAGGUCCAGUACCAGCCCAGAUCAGAGAGUUACGGCAACCAGGGGAGAUCCACAUGGCGGAAGCUGGGAAGAAAGACCCGAGACCUCCUGACAGCAGUGAUUGGUUUUAUCCGCUCAGCCGCCGAUCAGACCACCGCCGAGGUGCUGAGAAGGCUGAGUGCUGCCCGACGGGCGGUCUAAGACUCCGCUUAAAACCCUGCCAACGGUGGAGCUGAGCCACGAGCAGAAGCAGCUGUGACAGAGCCAGCCCUUUCCUGCCCCUGCUCCUGCAACCUCAGAGGCAGCCACCCCACUGCCGCGCCGACCUGCUUCGGUGCGUGCGUGGCGGGACGUGACAUUCAUGCCUGAGAACGCUUCACAGAUGUGAAACGCUGGCACCAUUGAGAUGAUGCUUAAGCACAAAAUUAAGCAUUUGAAAUAUUA